rnacentral:lncRNA from 1 species
AUCGAUCUGUCGCCAUACUAAUUAUGCAUAUUUCAAUCCCGGAAGUCACUCAGAACGAGGCUGUGACGUCAGUGGUUACAUCAAUCAUAUUUGACUGACGGGUGUAAAGGCAUAAUAAGCGCAAUUUCAUAUUCGAAUAUCUUCCAACAAAACCCAUAACAGUGAUUAAAAAUGGUUCUGUGUUCUGCCAGUUGAUGCAACAAUAGGCAUAAGGACAAUUUGAUAAAAAAAAAAUCCGUUUUCUGAGUAACCCGCAGACUAGUCCCAGGAAGAGAUAGGACUUCCUACCAAACACUAGUCAUAGACUUUGUUCCUCCCACUUUACUAAUGCAUGUUACGAUCGUGACCCAGAAGUUAUGAGGAAUCUCGAGGGAUGUCCUACCAUGAAGCCAAAACUUCGUCCAAAUGCGGUACCUGACAUUCCAUUGACACAACCAACAACAGCUGAGCCCCACCUAAGCGGGGAGCUUGUGAGAAGCGGAGAAUGGCUGAGGGAGAAAAAAAUCUUUUUCUUCGCAAAUAUUUUUUGCGUCCCUUAUUAAUAAUUUUUUAAUAGUUUAGUCAUAUUUGUGUAUAAUUCUAUAGCCAAAUAUAUCUCAAUGUUUAAAAUUUGGUAUUGUGUACCUCCUGCGUGUACCUCACUACCUGUUCACGUGUGCAGGUG